CUUAGUGUGCCAGAUAAAUGGGCAUGAUUUAGGAUUAUGUUAUGGUUUUAUAAUCCGCUGAGA
rnacentral:tRNA from 1 species